rnacentral:tRNA from 1 species
GGUGACUCAGUGAUAGAGUGCUUGCCUUGCAUGCAUGAGGCCCUAGGUUCGAUUCCUCAGCACCA